CCCUUAGAUGUUCUGGGCGGCCCGCGCACUACAUUGGCACUGGCAACAAGAUCCUAGAUCUGAUAUUUCGGGGUAUUCUACCAACUGGUGUCGUGACUGGGAUUAACCCCUGCAAUUAUUGGUUAUGAACGAGGAAUUCCUUGUAAUCACGGUUUAUCAACCCGUGUUGAAUGCGUCCCUGCCCUUUGUACACACCGCCCGUCACUCCUACCGAUGAAUCGUCCGGUGAAGUUCAUGGAGUCGCGGCUGCUCCAGCUGUUUUCGAAGUGAAAUGGACCUCAUGAUUUAGAGGAAGGAGAAGUCGUAACA
rnacentral:rRNA from 1 species